CCAGUCCAAGAAGAAACGCGUCUGGAUGCUGAAGGCGGAAGAUAUGAUUGAGCGCCAAAUAUCUUGAGAACUUCAAUCGUCAAAUCGGUAACGACUGAAAAUCGUAUUGUUGUGUUUCGAGGCUGCCAAAUCGCUGAACUAUCUAUUUCUCUUGGUCCGAUUUUUAACCCUAUCUUAUUCUCAAUUGCUGUAAAUCAACUAAUGCUACUAGCCUGCUUGAUUGGGUUUGAUUCAAUCGACUUUUUUUUCAAACUUCUCGCUCGGAGUUCGAUCAGCGAUUCGCUGUGCUUGAUUGGGUUCUUUUUUUUCUGCCCUGAAGCAAGAGGAAAACGGAAGAAAGUGUCUCAAAAGUUCAACUGUUCAAUUGAUUUGGGAGAUUGAGUCUGUAAAUCGUUUGAAUACAGGAUAAGGAGGCAUAUCACAUAUCUGAAAGUUGGAUGAAAAAGAACUGUUGGAUUCGAUUUUGUCUUCUUCUGAUUUGGUGAAAAGGAAUUUUCACCUUUGUUUGAGCUUGGGUUUUGCUUCUGAUUAAGUUCGAAAUCUAUUUCCUUUAAUCUUUAUCCUCUAUUUGUUGUUUACUUCAGAAGGCUGCUUUGUAUUGAAAGUUGACAUCAUGGUUUGCUCAAAAUCUACUGCCUUGUGUACUUGACUUCUUGUUCAGGAUAUUGUUGAAGGUGUUGGUUACGGCUGCUUCUCCGGAAAGAAGUUUUUCAAAAUUGAAGCUCUUGAAAUCGUAUAAGAAGUAUUAUGACUCAAGAAAAAUUGAAUGUAUACCAAUUUUAAGUAUUGAAAGUGAAUUUUUACAAAAUAUUGAUUAAUUGUAAAGUAUGAAUUGUUUUUGCUACAAAAAAUGUUCGAAAACAUUGUUUUAGGUGAUUUUUGUAGGUUUUGUUUGUAUUGUUUGUUUGAUUAUAAAAUUCACUGUACUUUUGAUUUUCUAGUUAUUUUA